ACACACACAUGCACACACACACACACACACACACACACACCUCAAUUUCCAUUUGAUCCAUGAGCUAAGCUGUGUGUGUGUGUGUGUGUGUGUGUGUGUGU
rnacentral:miRNA from 1 species